UACGGGGGGAGCAAGCGUUGUUCGGAUUUACUGGGCGUAAAGGGCGGGUAGGCGGCCACCGCAAGUCGACUGUGAAAUCUCCGGGCUUAAUCCGGAAAGGUCAGCCGAUACUGCGGGGCUAGAGUGCAGAAGGGGCAACUGGAAUUCUCGGUGUAGCGGUGAAAUGCGUAGAUAUCGAGAGGAACACCUGCGGCGAAGGCGGGUUGCUGGGCUGACACUGACGCUGAGGCGCGAAAGCCAGGGGAGCGAACGGG
rnacentral:rRNA from 1 species